CUCGCGUUUAGCGCAAUGUGGGCUUAUUGUUCGCGGGUGGAGAAGUUUGCAUGUGGAGACGUAGUGACGGAAAGGCACGCAGCUGUGCGCUUCCUUGCACACGUUUGUGGCUGGAGCUUUAUAAACGGCCUCAUUGUUAGCAAGUGUUCCCCGAGAGGCCGAGCAGCGAUAACGGCCGGGUUAGCUGUUUACGGGAGCCCAUCCUCCAAGAUUACAUCGGAAUCUGGCGCUUCUGUGUUUGAAAAAGAGCAGCAGGAAGCGAUUGAACACAUUGAUGAAGUACAGAAUGAAAUUGACAGACUGAACGAACAGGCUAGUGAAGAAAUUUUAAAAGUAGAGCAGAAGUACAACAAAUUACGCCAGCCAUUCUUUCAGAAGCGAUCAGAAAUCAUAGCCAAAAUCCCCAACUUCUGGGUCACAACAUUCGUCAACCAUCCACAAGUUUCAGCUCUUCUGGGGGAGGAGGACGAGGAAGCACUACAUUACUUGUCGAGGGUGGAGGUCACUGAGUUUGAGGACAUCAAGUCUGGAUAUAGAAUAGAUUUUUAUUUUGAUGAGAAUCCGUACUUUGAGAACAAAGCCCUCUCCAAAGAGUUUAACGUAAACGAGAGCGGUGACCCGGUUUCCAAAUCAUCGGAAAUCAAGUGGAAAGCUGGAAAGGACCUGACAAAACGUACUGGUCAGACGCCAAACAAAGCUGGGAAGAAAAGGCAGCAUGAAGAGCCAGAGAGCUUCUUCACCUGGUUUACCGACCACUCGGAUGCAGGAGCUGAUGAGCUGGGAGAAGUGAUCAAGGAUGACAUUUGGCCAAACCCGCUGCAGUACUACCUGGUCCCUGACAUGGAGGACGAGGAAGAUGAUGGUGACGACGAUGAUGAAGAAGAGGAGGGUCUGGAAGAUAUUGAUGAAGGGGAAGAAGAGGAGGGUGAAGAUGAAGAUGAGGAUGGUGAUGGGGAAGAUGGAGAGGAUGAUGGUGAAGAUGAUUAAAGGUUAAGUCAACACCUUUUCCCCAUCCUCCCUCUGUGAUCACUCAACUCAUGGGAGCAAUUUUUUUUGGUUUGUGUUCCUGUGCGUUGUCACCCUGUCCGUCCUCUUCCUCUGCAGCCACAGCCUGUAGAUGAGGUCUGGAGACCAGCUCCACACACAGCAGGUCUGCAGAGGGGUGGGGGUGCAGGUGUCAGUGGCUCUCUGGAAUUUUCACCUGUCAUUGUUUCUCUACAUCUCCCAAAGACAUGCAAAAGAAUAAAAAAAAUUUGUAGCAUUCUGCACGUCAUCCUAUGUAGAUUUAAACUCCGUACAAUAACAAUUUGUAUGUACAAUAAAAUGACAGUUUCUGUUGAAGUUGUGAGUUCAAUAAAAAUAAGCCAUGGUGCAGUGAUAACUUAAUCAUAGCAUCCUUAGCCACUUUUAUAUAUAUAAUAUAUAUAAAUGUUUAUUAUUAUAUAUCCAGUGGUGGGGGUUCUGAGGCUUAUUAGAAGCUGCAUUUUCCUUUGUGACUUAUUGAAUUAAUUGAUUGAAAGCACCAGCUUGUUCCUUUGAACUGUUGUAAAUGUUUUGGGAUAUCCAUGUAUCUCAGUAGGCCAGUUAAUUGUACACAGUUUAAUGGGGGCAGUAUGGUGGGGGGGGGGACUUUGACACCAACUCUGGACUUCUGUUAAAAAAAUGUCUUGUUUUUCAGGCACCCACAACAAAAUUUCAAGUGUGUGUAUGAAUAUGAGACACAUACAUGCACACUAAAACUUUAAAUUUGAGUAUUUGAGACGGGAGUCCUUUGGAGACUGCUGCGUUUCUCCUGUUCUACUGGAAACCUGUUCCCAUUAAAUUAAGUGUACUAGUUACUUUGUUACAAUAAAUAAAUGUAUAUGUGA